rnacentral:rRNA from 1 species
AUUGAACGCUGGCGGCAGGCCUAACACAUGCAAGUCGAACGAGUGGCGGACGGGUGAGUAAUGUCUGGGAAAAUGCCUGAUGGAGGGGGAUAACUACUGGAAACGGUAGCUAAUACCGCAUACCAUCGGAUGUGCCCAGAUGGGAUUAGCUAGUAGGUGGGGUAACGGCUCACCUAGGCCACGAUCCCUAGCUGGUCUGGGAGGAUGACCAGCAAGAAUGUAACUGAGACACGGUCGAGACUCCUACGGGAGGCGGCAGGGGGGAGUAUGUCACAAGUGGCGCAAGCCUGAUGCAGCCGUGCCGCGUGUAUGAAGAAGACCUUGGGGUUGUAAAGUACUUGCAGCGGGGAGGCGUUACCCGCAGAAGAAGCACCGGCUGACUCCGUGCCAGCAGCCGAGGUAAUAC